rnacentral:lncRNA from 1 species
GAGAAGAAAGAACCGGAACCUGUGCCACCUAAAAAGGUAGUCAAGGAGAAGAAAGAACCGGAACCUGUGCCACCUAAAAAGGUAGUCAAGGAGAAGAAAGAACCGGAACCUGUGCCACCUAAGAAGGAAGAACCGGAACCUGUGCCACCAAAAAAGGAUGUCAAGGAAAAGGAAGAACCGAAACCUGUGCCACC